AUACGUAGGUGACAAGCGUUAUCCGGAUUUACUGGGCGUAAAGGGCGUGUAGGCGGUCUUGCAAGUCAGAAGUGAAAUUCCUGAGCUCAACUCGGGCGCUGCUUCUGAAACUGCAGGACUUGAGUGCUGGAGGGGAUAGCGGAAUUCCUAGUGGAGCGGUAAAAUGCGCAGAUAUUAGGAAGAACACCGGUGGCGAAGGCGGCUAUCUGGACAGUAACUGACGCUGAGGCGCGAAAGCGUGGGGAGCAAACAGGAUUAGAUACCCUGGUAGUCCACGCCGUAAACGAUGAACACUAGGUGUAGGGGGUAUCGACUCCCUCUGUGCCGCAGUUAACACAAUAAGUAUUCCGCCUGGGGAGUACGACCGCAAGGUUGAAACUCAAAGGAAUUGACGGGG
rnacentral:rRNA from 1 species